rnacentral:rRNA from 1 species
UACGGAGGGUGCAAGCGUUAUCCGGAUUCACUGGGUUUAAAGGGUGCGUAGGUGGGUCUGUAAGUCCGUGGUGAAAUCUCUAGGCUUAACCUGGAAACUGCCAUGGAUACUAUAGGUCUUGAAUACUGUGGAGGUCAGCGGAAUAUGUCAUGUAGCGGUGAAAUGCUUAGAUAUGACAUAGAACACCAAUUGCGAAGGCAGCUUACUACCCGAAUAUUGACACUGAGGCACGAAAGCGUGGGGAUCAAACAGG